GAUGAACGCUGGCGGCGUGCUUAACACAUGCAAGUCGAACGGAGCGGCGGACGGGUGAGUAACGCGUGGGUAACCUGCCUUAUACAAGGGGAUAACAGAGGGAAACUUCUGCUAAUACCGUAUAGGAUGAGAUGGACUCGCGUCUGAUUAGGUAGUUGGUGAGGUAGAGGCUCACCAAGCAGACGAUCGGUAGCCGGUCUGAGAGAAUGACGGGCCACAUGGGGACGUAGAAACGGACCAAACACCUACGGAAGGUGGCAGUGGGGAAUAUUGGACAAUGGGGGCAACCCGCAUCCAGCGACGCCGCGUGAGUGAAGAAGUAUUUCGGUAUGUAAAGCUCUAUCAUAACGGAAGAAGUCGUUAAGGAAGAAGCCCCGGCUAACUACGUGCCAGCAGCCGCGGUAAUAC
rnacentral:rRNA from 1 species